rnacentral:lncRNA from 1 species
CCGGCCCGUAGGCACUGCCAUUACCCAAGGGAGCUCUUAGAUAUGACGAGGCUGGUGUUUGUGUGCUGUUCUGUCCAUCAAUGUGCAACAGCGGGCGAUCUAGAUUGUAAUCUGUUCUGUCCAUCAAUGUACAACAGUGGGCUAUUGUAAGCUGUUCUGUCCAACAAUGUGCAGCAGUGGGCUGUCUAGAUUGUAAGCUGUUCUGUCCAUCGAGGUGCAGCAGUGGGCUGCCUUGAUUGUAAGCUGUUCUGUCCAUCAAUGUACAACAGUAGGCGGUCUUGAUUGUAAGCUGUUCUGUCUAUCAAUGUGCAAUAGUGGGCGGUCCCAGCCCGUAGGCAGUGCAAUCUCCGGAGGGAGCUGCUACACUCUUAGACAAACUUACACACUUUGGGGUGUAUCUCUGCUACGCAACAAUAAUCAUGUUCCUUGCUUGCAUUUCCUUUCUUGAAAACGCCGCGCCCGCUACUUUCCUGUCGGGAAUGCUAUGUCAUGCUGAUAACGCACAUGCUGUUCGUUACUGGG